rnacentral:tRNA from 1 species
AAUUAAUAUGUUAAUUCUGUUAAAAAAGAUUUUCAUUCUUUUUAUUAUUUUUAUUACAGAAUUUUCAUUU